rnacentral:tRNA from 1 species
GGUCAUGGCUCAGUGGUAGAGCACUUGCCUAGCAUGUGUGAGGCACUGGGUUCAAUUCUCAGCACCA